AAGAAAAAGUAAAACUUGAACCCGAUCGGUAAACUGAAUCGGAACCCCCAAAAAACCUUAACUCUAACCGAUCUCAAAAACCUAAAAAUUACCAAAUCGCAACGGAAUCAAAAAAAUCAAUUCAGAAUGAGUGUACAAAUAACGGAAAACUUCAGUGGGAAAAAAUAAUUUAUACAGUCGCCGGAAAAUCGAAUAAUCCGGUAUACUUUUUUUUCUCUCUCUCUAGAAACUGCCUGCUGGCGUGGUGUUUGAUUUUCUCUCUCUAGAAACUACUUUCUCUCUCUCUUUUUAGCCUUCUGCUUUGUCUGCUAAAAACGCGAGUUGAACA
rnacentral:misc_RNA from 1 species